GACUGAACCGGUUCUCGUACGAUCACCGAAGUUAAGCAACGUCGAGCCUGGUCAGCCUGGAUGAGUGAUCACUUGGGAAUAUCAAGAGCUGAAA